rnacentral:lncRNA from 1 species
UUAAAGCCAAAGAUGAAAAUGUCAGACGGAUUAUAUCAGCGUGUGUAUGCUUGCACAAUUUUCUGAUGACAGAAACAGCUUCCUCUCGUGCAGUUUACUGCCCACCAGGAACUACUGAUUAUGAAGAUUGGCAGAGACGUCAAACCGAUGGAACAUGGAGGCAAGAGGCGGAUGAGGAUGGCGGACUGACUCCUGUGCCUGCCACAGGUUAUCACCCAACGAGCAGCUGCUGGUGUUGCUGAGCGACUUGACGGAACUGAGGAGCCAGAAGUUCCCGGCACCUCAUCUUGGUCCUGGGGAUUUCUGUUUCCAGUGCACAACAGUUAUUAAAUGAAUAAACCUAUAAUUAUUUGACGGCCUAAGUUUGGGCAAUAA